rnacentral:rRNA from 1 species
GGCUGAGAGAUCAGCUGUUCCCUUCGGGGACAGAAUGACAGGUGGUGCAUGGUUGUCGUCAGCUCGUGUCGUGAGGUGUUGGGUUAAGUCCCGCAACGAGCGCAACCCUUAUGAUCAGUUGCCAGCAUUCAGUUGGGCACUCUGGUCAGACUGCCGGUGACAAACCGGAGGAAGGCGGGGAUGACGUCAAAUCAUCAUGCCCCUUAUGACCUGGGCUACACACGUGCUACAAUGGGUGGUACAACGAGCAGCGAGACCGCGAGGUCAAGCGAAUCUCUAAAAACCAUCCUCAGUUCGGAUUGCAGGCUGCAACUCGCCUGCAUGAAGCUGGAAUCGCUAGUAAUCGCGGAUCAGCACGCCGCGGUGAAUACGUUCCCGGGUCUUGUACACACCGA